CACAUGCAAGUCGAGGGGCAGCAUGGUCUUAGCUUGCUAAGGCUGAUGGCGACCGGCGCACGGGUGAGUAACACGUAUCCAACCUGCCGUCUACUCUUGGCCAGCCUUCUGAAAGGAAGAUUAAUCCAGGAUGGCAUCAUGAGUUCACAUGUCCGCAUGAUUAAAGGUAUUUUCCGGUAGACGAUGGGGAUGCGUUCCAUUAGAUAGUAGGCGGGGUAACGGCCCACCUAGUCAACGAUGGAUAGGGGUUCUGAGAGGAAGGUCCCCCACAUUGGAACUGAGACACGGUCCAAACUCCUACGGGAGGCAGCAGUGAGGAAUAUUGGUCAAUGGGCGAUGGCCUGAACCAGCCAAGUAGCGUGAAGGAUGACUGCCCUAUGGGUUGUAAACUUCUUUUAUAAAGGAAUAAAGUCGGGUAUGCAUACCCGUUUGCAUGUACUUUAUGAAUAAGGAUCGGCUAACUCCGUGCCAGCAGCCGCGGUAAUACGGAGGAUCCGAGCGUUAUCCGGAUUUAUUGGGUUUAAAGGGAGCGUAGAUGGAUGUUUAAGUCAGUUGUGAAAGUUUGCGGCUCAACCGUAAAAUUGCAGUUGAUACUGGAUGUCUUGAGUGCAGUUGAGGCAGGCGGAAUUCGUGGUGUAGCGGUGAAAUGCUUAGAUAUCACGAAGAACUCCGAUUGCGAAGGCAGCCUGCUAAGCUGCAACUGA
rnacentral:rRNA from 1 species